rnacentral:misc_RNA from 1 species
CUUCGGGCAUGUACACGGUAUAUCAGAAAGUUGGAGCAAAAAUAUGGGUAUACUCGUAACCUCUAUGUGCCAAAGCAAAAUAUAUGAUGUAUCCUAAAAUGCAUCUAUAUCAAGAUACGACUACUUCAGUUUCCUGAUACAGGAAACGCUUUAUACCAAAUCCAUUAGCAAACAUAUUCAGUCUGGACAAAAAGUACAUACAUCAGCAAACAAAUUUCACUAAAAUCAUGGAGAAUAUGUACAUACAUACGUCCCGGC